GACGAACCGUGCGAACGUUGUUCGGAAUCACUGGGCUUAAAGGGCGCGUAGGCGGGCCGCAAAGUCAGGGGUGAAAGCCUCCAGCUCAACUGGAGAAGUGCCUCUGAUACUGGCGGCCUCGAGGGAGAUAGGGGCGUGCGGAACUUCCGGUGGAGCGGUGAAAUGCGUAGAUAUCGGAAGGAACACCGGUGGCGAAAGCGGCGCGCUGGAUCUCUUCUGAC
rnacentral:rRNA from 1 species